CACAUUUUAAUCUGUUCACACUCUCAGACAUUAAUCACAUUACUUUACAAGCUGCCACCUCAAGAUUUUAUGGAUACAAACACACAGACAGGACACAGGAGUUGGGAGUAACAUGAUUGAGGAGGACAGUGGCAGGGUCAGCUGCUGGCAGUGGUACUGAGAAGAAAGACGUGCGCAUGCUGCGGUUCAUCCAGGAAGUCAACACCACCACACGCUCCUGUGCAUUAUGGGACUUGGAGGAAGAGACAGACUACAUCGUACAUGUCCAGUCCAUCAGCAUGUCUGGGACGAGCCCGCUGAGCGAACCCCUGCGCUUCCGAACGCCGAAGGAGGCCGAGACUCAGGCCUCUAAGAGUAAAGACGAAGUGACGAUGGAGGAAGUGGGCCAGACCACCCAGCUGAGGGCGGGGGAGCUCAUCAUCAUCGUGGUGGUACUUAUCAUGUGGGCAGGUGUGAUCGCUCUCUUCUGUCGCCAGUAUGACAUAAUCAAAGACAACGAGCCAAACAACAACAAGGACAAAGCCAAAAACUCCUCAGAGUGCAGCACUCCUGAACACCCAACAGGGGGGCUGUUGCGCAGUAAGGUAUAACCCACCCCUCUCUCCUCCUCCCCCCCGGGUGCCUCCCCCUCAGCGGCGCCGGGCAGUUCCCUAAGAACAACAACAAUAGGAUGCCAUCUGUCAACAUCAUUGAGGUGUGACUGCCAGGACGUCUUCUCUUUAUCCAAAAGACUUUGUGUUCUCACAAACAAGCGGGCCCCUUUUAAGCCAAUCUGCUUGUCAGGAUGAGGCUGGGACUCUAGGCCCCCCUCGGCGGCGCCUACUCUCCUUUGGCACGUGACCUGCCGAUGAAGCGAAGCUGCAGGACUCCGGGGGCCGGGCAUGGCCUGGCCGGAGCCGGUCUGAGAGCAGAGCCCGCAGUGGAGAGACUGUGGCGAGAGUCCAGUGGCUCCACCGUGCUCAAUAACUACUGUACCAUGGGGCAGCAGAGCCAAAUGGCUCCGGCAGUGGACAGACUGCAGAUCCACCAACCCCAGGGACCAAAGCCGAUAAACAGAGCCAGAGACCUUGUUAUUCUCUUUCUCUCCCUUUCUCUGAUUCCCAUUUCUGGGUGGCACUAAACUGCAUCCACAAAUAUUCUCCUAAUCUCACUUUCUAGACCUUAUUUUUUCUUCAUAACAUCCUCUAUUCUACACUUUCUUAAUUGUAUCAUUCAAGUAUGUCACUGUAGUUUUUUUUACUUUACAAGGUGCCACCAGAACAGUUCUGUUGUUCUGGUAUCUUUUUUUUUUUUUUUUUUUUAGACCACCCCUCAGGCAGAAACUUUUUUGCCGUCCUGUGGGAAAUGUUUUCAUUCUGGCGAGCUUGUUUUCCCCCCUCAGGGAAUCCAGACUCCACCUGGCCAAUUUAGCAGCCAUUUCUUAGAUGUGCUGCAAUGACGCCAGAGCAGCUUUAGAGGGAUCACUCCGCUCACCACCAGAGCUGAAUCACCCAAUCUUGUCAGAAAAGAUGAAAGGCGUCUCUGAUCUUAACACAUACAUGUCUCUAACAGGACAAGUUUGGUAUCACAUUUGCGUCCUCUAACUUUUUUUCAUGAUUUUAUUUUAGCUUUCUAAAUUGUUACAUUCCACUUCCAGGAUGAACCCUUUAGUAUUUCCUUGUGUCUUUCUCUUUGAGGGUGAUGAAUUUCAAAGCAUUCUGAGGAGAAAAAAAAAGAACUGCCAUAAUGGAGCGCAUCAUCUAAUUAAUGAACUUUAAAAUGGGCUGGACUCAUGUCUACAGAGAGGUGGACUUGCCUCUGUAGAGACACUGGAAGAGAUCCCUUAAAUCAGCAAUAACAGCCCUCAGUGAAGCACGGAAGCAAGGACUUCUGAAAUGAGUGCGCACUCUGUAGCCUCAUUUUCAAAUGAUCCCUGAAAAAUCUUUAAGCGCUGUUGUAAAAACUUUGGUUUCUGCUGGAGAGCAUGGAGAAAAAAAAAAAAAAAAACUUUUUAUGGGCCCAACCUUCAACCCUGAGACUUCCUUAUGACAUCUUGAACCGAUGUCACCGAGACAGAAGGGCUUCUAUCAAGACUUUUUCUCAAUUCAAAGUCAACAUUUGUGUAGAAACUCACUGUUGCAGAGGUUUCAUUUAAUGAUAAGGGAUCAACUGUCACCAUACAGUACUGUGAAACGUAUACUGAAAGGUAACUUUUUUGCUGCUCAGCAGCUUCUCAAUGGGCCAGGCCUGUGAGUUGGCUGUGGUGAUAAGAAAGCAAAUGGUGUAUUUGAGGGCUGAUUCAAACUCAGUAGUACUGCCUUAAAAAUAAUUAUAUGUUUUAUUUAACAAGAUGGAAGGCCCUGUAUCUCACAUUUAUGUCAUAUUCUUUACCUUUCACCUAAUAUUCAAACGUGUGUGGAAAGUAAAAGGUAAGUACAAAUCUAGCUGGCUGAGGCUUGUUGAAAAGCUCAAACAUUUAAUGUGUAAAUACAUUUUAUAUUUCAUUCUUGUUUGGUGGUGUCAGUUUAGAGAGCCUUUAAUGAAAUAUGGCGAGACAAACAUGGAAAAUGUAUAUUCUUAAUGUAAGAGGGUACUGCUACUGGUGGGAAAAAGGUGAUUUUUUUGUUUAUACUCCGCUGUUAAAGUCCUGUUAUUAUGAAGCUUUUCAUACCUGUAGCACUUAUCUACUGUUAUGUAUUUCUAUUACAUUAUGUCAUUGUGCUGUUUAUGUGCAAUAAGAAAAGACUCUGGAUAGUUUAAAUAAUGAUCAAAGCAUAAUGGUUCAGAGCCACUCAGUAGCUGGAAAUUGUGUUGACAGGCAGAAUGAUAAACUCAUCAGCUGCUCUUGUUCUGCACGGAUUCCGUCUCGUUCUGCGAUAUGCCGGCUACUCAUUUAUUGUCAACACAGACAUUUACAUGUGUGCAUGCAAACAUAACAGGGGCAUAACUCCCUGCCGAUGCACACGCUGUAGCCUUGAGUGUGGCGGGAGAUGGAGGCAGUAAAGGCGGUAAAUAGAGAGAGCAAUGAAGGUUACGGUUGAGCAGAGUGGGUAGAAUGAUGACUGCUGCAAUGGCAGGCUUUUAUCACUCCCUACCUCCCUCUGCCUCCACUUCCACUCUUAAUAAGAGAGAAAAAGCUCAAGAUUGCACUCCUCCAACAAGCACUGAUUCAUGUCAGAGGCAAAGAGCGGGUUUAAAGCAAAGGCAAAGUGUUGGAUAAGGGGGAAAGAGUCGCAGGGGCCUCCCAGACGUUGAGCUGUUGCCAGGACAAACUUGGUGAAGUCUUGAGAGGCUGUUCUGCUGCAUUACCCAGAGUGAUCAGCACUUCGUCGAAAAACUUCUGCCGCUGAGGGUUGAAUCCAUUCUUCCCCAGGAAUACUGCAACAGUAGCAGGCACACCAAUCGAUAGGCAUCCAUCCACACAGUAACAGAUAAUGAUGAUAGUCUCACUGGAUGAUUUCUUUGAACCAGGGCCAUGUUUUAAAUUUGCCAGCAAUGUAUUUCUCAACAGCAAUCCCUGUUGGCAUUGGUGUUAUUUACUUUCCUCCUCCUCAGUUGCUUAAAUGAGGAAAACUUCAACUAGAAACGAGGGGUUUACUUUUAAAGUGGCUACAAAGAUUUUUCUGGUGAACUCUUCUACAGUGUGUUGCCAGUGUAAAUACUGUAUUCCUUAUUACUGAUUUAAAUGUAGGACUAUUGUGAACAUUCACCUUUGUGGCAGGUUGACAUCCAAAUUUAGGGUUAGAAGUUGCAGUUCCAGCAGCCUGUUUCAUGGUAAACAGCUGUGGUGUAUCAUUUGAUUUCACCAUGUUAAACAAGAGAGAUUUUACAUGUUUGGCAGAUUUAUAAAGGACAUUUGGGUAUCUAAUUAGGGUCCACACACUUCAUAUCUGGUGGUGUCCUGCACUGAAGUUUGCUCAGUCAGCCAUACAUGGACAUUAGGCCUACUGUUUGUACUACAAACAAAUUGAUCAUAUGGACUGAGGUUGUUUAAAAGGUUCAGCUGGUAUUGAGACAGGUUAAGUGGUCACCUGUCGACCAGAGAUGGAAACUAUUUUUUCCCUUAAUCACACUCGACUUAUGGUGACGACUGUAAGAACAUUCCACAUUUAAAACAUUCCACUUGAGCCCCGUGGUGGCAAACUAGUUUUAUCAAGACACUUGAGGACUUCCCGUUCUAUGUCCAAUACAAUGCUUGAAAAAUAUGCUUGGUAGCAGACAGUAAUGGGCUAUUUUGCAACGAGACACCAGUGCAGUAUAGAGACAAAACAACUUACACACACCGUUUAUGUUGUACGAGUAGAAACACGCCUGGAAACUGAAACUCAAUAUUGCAACAUUACAGAGAAGUCAACCUAUUUCAUUAUGGGUUCUUGAAAUAUAGGAAUGAGAUCCACAAAGAAGCAUGGUUUAGAAAAAUGAACUGCUUUAUUAGUGCUAUCAUGUUUAUAUUCAUUGUAUGAAGUGUACAGCAGUCAUUGCUUAAUGAGGGCUAGCAUGGUUUAACUAUUAUGCACAAGGUUACACAACUUCAAUUAUGAAGAAUAUGGUGUAUGCUUACUUGUGUAUGCUUAAAUAAAAUUAAAAAAUAUCUAAUAUUUUCCACAAAUGUGUGUGUUUGCGCUUAAUUGGGGACAAAAACAAUGAGGUGGUGGUAUUCAAAAUAAACUGUGAGAUUGCCUAAACCUUUUCUGAGCAAAACAUGUCAGGCUGGUAAACUAUUUUUUAAAGAAAACUGUUAAAGAAUCCAGGAAGUCGGGCUUUUACUGUAGUGAAUAAUACAUGUGAAUCUGUCUUCACCAGGGUUCAACUGUCAGACUUUUCUCUAUCAGAUAAAGCACAUAGGCUUACAGUUCACUAUUUUACUGUUACUGGAGAGGAAUAGAGCUCAGUCUAAGGUAGACAUUAAUCCUCCUGAAAAAUCCAGCCAACAACACGGUUUCAGGUAUUUAAUGUUGAGUCAGCAACUAGUGUAAGUAAACGUGCCAGGAUUAGUAAUGAAUUUGAAAUCAAUUACACCUGAACGCCAUGACCCAACAAAUCACUUUUCAAGUUCCAAAUUAGAUUAUGUUUAGGUUUGUCUUUCCAUUUGCAUCAAUACAAGAAGAGCAAUUGUCUUGACGGUCUCUUGACAGAAUCACCGCUGCAGAAGAACUGUGAGAUAAACACAAACAGCCUCCUCUCUGCUGAAAUCCUGCCCGUGACUCUGGAGGGGUAAACCAUUGUCGGAAGGUGUGAAGAGGUGCUGUAGCUGCUCUGCUGCACACGUGCCCUGCAGUCUGCUCAGCACGUGUCAUGAGGUCUCCACCGACACCCACACAAACCACUGUUUUCUGGAUGGCUGGCCAGGGACAGGCUGCCCCACUCUCUGUACAGACAAGAUUACUUUAACGGCCUGCAUUAUUCAAUGACUGGGACCUAUGCUGAUAAGGUCCAAGUGUUUGGGCUCCCUGGGGCCACUUCAGUCAGUCUGUACCUGUGCACGCAACUUAAGACGCUGUGUAGCGGACUCAGAACAAAGCUGACAAAGAUACAGAAUUAUUGACCAAACAUUAACAGUUAACCAAACAGGUAAAACCUUAUGAGUACUUCAUCAGCAGCACUGUCUCACCCCCACACCAACACAGCCCUACUCUGACUCCAGGGAAAGAGCUCUCCACCCAGUGUUACAGAGUUUAAUGAAACCACUGUGCAUUGAAUCUCCAAGCAGCCGAAAAUAUGCUGCGGUCACAUCAGCUCUACAACUAAAGGGUCAGUUCACACAAAACACUAAACCACUUACCCUGAGUGGCAGUAUCUAGCCACGCAGAGUUUAGGAUUUUGGUUCAGGUUCAUUCAUCUUGGUGUUGCAUUAUCCACUGAUAUCCCUAAACAAUGGAGGUAAAAAAGGAGUUUUGUUUAUUUUCAAAGAACUCAAGAGCUGGGCUUUUCAGGAAUAUCCACAGAGGCGAACAGGUUCCAACAAGAACUAUUGUAUUCCAAAAAGGGUAGGCCAUACAAUCACUUUCAGCGAACACCAAUCCAACGCAUGGGACACAAAACUUAAACUAUUUUUUGUCUGCCCCAAUAUAAAAUAUACUGACUUAACAAGUACUUAAAUACAUAUUAAAACAAAGUCCUUAAAACAUGCAUUAAUUUUCACACUCGGGUACAUGCAUAGUUCAAAGAAACAGAAUAACACACAGAAUAACACUCAAACUGACAAACCAAAAAAAAAAAAAAAAGAACACCACAAAUU